rnacentral:rRNA from 1 species
UACGUAGGUGGCAAGCGUUGUCCGGAUCUACUGGGCGUAAAGGGCGUGCAGGCGGUCUGUUAAGUCUAGGGUGAAAGCUCCCGGCUCAACUGGGAGAGGUCCUUGGAUACUGGCGGACUUGAGGGAUGCAGAGGAAAGUGGAAUUCCCGGUGUAGUGGUGAUAUGCGUAGAUAUCGGGAGGAACACCAGUGGCGAAGGCGGCUUUCUGGGCAUUUCCUGACGCUGAGACGCGAAAGCGUGGGGAGCGAACCGG